rnacentral:rRNA from 1 species
CUGGCUCAGAUGAACGCUGGCGGCAGGCCUAACACAUGCAAGUCGAACGGUAACAGGAAGCAGCUUGCUGCUUCGCUGACGAGUGGCGGACGGGUGAGUAAUGUCUGGGAAACUGCCUGAUGGAGGGGGGAUAACUACUGGAAACGGUAGCUAAUACCGCAUAACGUCGCAAGACCAAAGAGGGGGACCUUCGGGCCUCUUGCCAUCAGAUGUGCCCAGAUGGGAUUAGCUAGUUGGUGGGGUAACGGCUCACCAAGGCGACGAUCCCUAGCUGGUCUGAGAGGAUGACCAGCCACACUGGAACUGAGACACGGUCCAGACUCCUACGGGAGGCAGCAGUGGGGAAUAUUGCACAAUGGGCGCAAGCCUGAUGCAGCCAUGCCGCGUGUAUGAAGAAGGCCUUCGGGUUGUAAAGUACUUUCAGCGGGGAGGAAGGUGUUGUGGUUAAUAACCGCAGCAAUUGACGUUACCCGCAGAAGAAGCACCGGCUAACUCCGUGCCAGCCGCCGC